AUAUAUACACACACACAUACA
rnacentral:miRNA from 1 species